AGAAGAUAUAAUUGAGGCUGCUAACUUUGAUUUGGGUUUUUGGAUCCGCUUCUUU
rnacentral:tRNA from 1 species